AGUGAACGCUGGCGGUAGGCCUAACACAUGCAAGUCGAACGGCAGCACAGUAAGAGCUUGCUCUUACGGGUUGCGAGUGGCGGACGGGUGAGGAAUACAUCGGAAUCUACUUUUUCGUGGGGGAUAACGUAGGGAAACUUACGCUAAUACCGCAUACGACCUACGGGUGAAAGCAGGUGAUCUUCGGACCUUGCGCGAUUGAAUGAGCCGAUGUCGGAUUAGCUAGUUGGCGGGGUAAAGGCCCACCAAGGCGACGAUCCGUAGCUGGUCUGAGAGGAUGAUCAGCCAAACUGGAACUGAGAGACGGUCCAGACUCCUACGGGAGGCAGCAGUGGGGAAUAUUGGAAAAUGGGAGCAAGCCUGAUCCAGCCAUACCGCGUGGGUGAAGAAGGCCUUCGGGUUGUAAAGCCCUUUUGUUGGGAAAGAAAAGCAGCAGGUUAAUACCCCGCUGUUCUGACGGUACCCAAAGAAUAAGCACCGGCUAACUUCGUG
rnacentral:rRNA from 1 species